UACGUAGGGGGCAAGCGUUGUCCGGAAUCAUUGGGCGUAAAGAGCGUGUAGGCGGCCAGGUAGGUCUGCUGUGAAAACUCGAGGCUUAACCUCGAGCUGUCGGCGGAAACCAUCUGGCUAGAGUCCGGAAGAGGAGAAUGGAAUUCCCGGUGUAGCGGUGAAAUGCGCAGAUAUCGGGAAGAACACCCGUGGCGAAGGCGGUUCUCUGGGACGGUACUGACGCUGAGACGCGAAAGCGUGGGGAGCAAACAGG
rnacentral:rRNA from 1 species